AUUGAACGCUGGCGGCGUGCCUAAUACAUGCAAGUCGAACGGAGUGGCGCACGGGUGAGUAAUAUAUAGCUAAACUUCCCCUAGCUGGGGGGCAACAGUUAGAAAUCGCUGCUAAUACUCCAUAGCAAGGGAUGAGACGAUAACGUAUCAGCUCGUCGGUGGGGUAACGGCCUACCGAGGGGAUGACGCGUAACUGGGCUGUGAGGAUGAGCAGCAACAUUGGAACUGAGGCACGGUCCAGAAUCAUUCGGGAGGGAGCAGUAGGGAAUAGUGCGCAAUGGGGGAGUACGUGUGGCGGCAACGCCGCGUGGAGGACGACAAGUUUCGGAGCGUAAACUCCGGUUGUUAGGGAAGCGUUACCUAACGAAUAAGCACCGGCUAACGCCGUGCCAGCAGCCGCGGUAAUAC
rnacentral:rRNA from 1 species